rnacentral:rRNA from 1 species
UACGUAGGGGGCAAGCGUUGUCCGGAAUUAUUGGGCGUAAAGCGCGCGCAGGCGGUCCUUUAAGUCUGAUGUGAAAGCCCACGGCUCAACCGUGGAGGGUCAUUGGAAACUGGGGGACUUGAGUGCAGGAGAGAAGAGUGGAAUUCCACGUGUAGCGGUGAAAUGCGUAGAGAUGUGGAGGAACACCAGUGGCGAAGGCGGCGCUCUGGGCCGGUACUGACACUGAGGAGCGAAAGCGUGGGUAGCAAACAGG